CAGUUCGGUCCCUAUCUGCCGUGGGCGCUGGAGAACUGAGGGGGGCUGCUCCUAGUACGAGAGGACCGGAGUGGACGCAUCACUGGUGUUCGGGUUGUCAUGCCAAUGGCACUGCCCGGUAGCUAAAUGCGGAAGAGAUAAGUGCUGAAAGCAUCUAAGCACGAAACUUGCCCCGAGAUGAGUUCUCCCUGAGACUUAAAGUCUCCUGAAGGAACGUUGAAGACGACGACGUUGAUAGGCCGGGUGUGUAAGCGCAGCGAUGCGUUGAGCUAACCGGUACUAAUGAACCGUGAGGCUUAACCUUACAACGCCGAAG
rnacentral:rRNA from 1 species